AGUCGAGCGGUAACAGGAAGCAGCUUGCUGCUUUGCUGACGAGUGGCGGACGGGUGAGUAAUGUCUGGGAAACUGCCUGAUGGAGGGGGAUAACUACUGGAAACGGUAGCUAAUACCGCAUAACGUCGCAAGACCAAAGAGGGGGACCUUCGGGCCUCUUGCCAUCAGAUGUGCCCAGAUGGGAUUAGCUAGUAGGUGGGGUAACGGCUCACCUAGGCGACGAUCCCUAGCUGGUCUGAGAGGAUGACCAGCCACACUGGAACUGAGACACGGUCCAGACUCCUACGGGAGGCAGCAGUGGGGAAUAUUGCACAAUGGGCGCAAGCCUGAUGCAGCCAUGCCGCGUGUAUGAAGAAGGCCUUCGGGUUGUAAAGUACUUUCAGCGGGGAGGAAGGCGAUAAGGUUAAUAACCUUGUCGAUUGACGUUACCCGCAGAAGAAGCACCGGCUAACUCCGUGCCAGCAGCCGCGGUAAUACGGAGGGUGCAAGCGUUAAUCGGAAUUACUGGGCGUAAAGCGCACGCAGGCGGUCUGUCAAGUCAGAUGUAAAAUCCCCGGGCUCAACCUGGGAACUGCAUUCGAAACUGGCAGGCUAGAGUCUUGUAGAGGGGGGUAGAAUUCCAGGUGUAGCGGUGAAAUGCGUAGAGAUCUGGAGGAAUACCGGUGGCAAACGCGGCCCCCUGGACAAAGACUGACGCUCAUGUGCGAAAGCGUGGGGAGCAAACAGGAUUAGAUACCCUGGUAGUCCACGCCGUAAACGAUGUCGACUUGGAGGUUGUGCCCUUGAGGCGUGGCUUCCAGAGCUAACGCGUUAAGUCGACCGCCUGGAGAGUACGGCCGCAAGGUUAAAACUCAAAUGAAUUGACGGGCGCCCGCACAAGCGGUGGAACAUGUGGUUUAAUUCGAUGCAACGCAAAAAACCUUACCUACUCUUGACAUCCAGAGAACUUAGCAGAGAUGUUUGGUGCCUUCGAGAACUCUGAAAAAGGUGCUUAAGGGUCUCCUCAGCUCGUGUGGAAAAUGUUGGUUAAGUCCCCCAACGAGCGCACCCUUUAUCUUUUUUGCCGGCGGUUGGGCGGGAA
rnacentral:rRNA from 1 species